rnacentral:rRNA from 1 species
GGAGUUACAAAGGACGACAUUAGACGAAUCAUCUGGAAAGAUGAAUCAAAGAAGGUAAUAAUCCUGUAGUCGAAAAUGUUGUCUCUCUUGAGUGGAUCCUGAGUACGACGGAGCACGUGAAAUUCCGUCGGAAUCUGGGAGGACCAUCUCCUAAGGCUAAAUACUCUCUAGUGACCGAUAGUGAACCAGUACCGUGAGGGAAAGGUGAAAAGCACCCCGGAAGGGGAGUGAAAUAGAACCUGAAACCGUGUGCUUACAAGUAGUCAGAGCCCGUUAAUGGGUGAUGGCGUGCCUUUUGUAGAAUGAACCGGCGAGUUACGAUUUGAUGCAAGGUUAAGCAGUAAAUGUGGAGCCGUAGCGAAAGCGAGUCUGAAUAGGGCGUUUAGUAUUUGGUCGUAGACCCGAAACCAGGUGAUCUACCCUUGGUCAGGUUGAAGUUCAGGUAACACUGAAUGGAGGACCGAACCGACUUACGUUGAAAAGUGAGCGGAUGAACUGAGGGUAGCGGAGAAAUUCCAAUCGAACCUGGAGAUAGCUGGUUCUCUCCGAAAUAGCUUUAGGGCUAGCCUCAAGUGAUGAUUAUUGGAGGUAGAGCACUGUUUGGACGAGGGGCCCCUCUCGGGUUACCGAAUUCAGACAAACUCCGAAUGCCAAUUAAUUUAACUUGGGAGUCAGAACAUGGGUGAUAAGGUCCGUGUUCGAAAGGGAAACAGCCCAGACCACCAGCUAAGGUCCCAAAAUAUAUGUUAAGUGGAAAAGGAUGUGGCGUUGCCCAGACAACUAGGAUGUUGGCUUAGAAGCAGCCAUCAUUUAAAGAGUGCGUAAUAGCUCACUAGUCGAGUGACACUGCGCCGAAAAUGUACCGGGGCUAAACAUAUUACCGAAGCUGUGGAUUGUCCUUUGGACAAUGGUAGGAGAGCGUUCUAAGGGCGUUGAAGCAUGAUCGUAAGGACAUGUGGAGCGCUUAGAAGUGAGAAUGCCGGUGUGAGUAGCGAAAGACGGGUGAGAAUCCCGUCCACCGAUUGACUAAGGUUUCCAGAGGAAGGCUCGUCCGCUCUGGGUUAGUCGGGUCCUAAGCUGAGGCCGACAGGCGUAGGCGAUGGAUAACAGGUUGAUAUUCCUGUACCACCUAUAAUCGUUUUA